rnacentral:rRNA from 1 species
CCUACGGGUGGCAGCAGUGGGGAAUAUUGCGCAAUGGGCGAAAGCCUGACGCAGCGACGCCGCGUGAGGGAUGAAGGUCUUCGGAUCGUAAACCUCUGUCAGCAGGGAAGAACGGUCACUGUGCUAAUCAGCAGUGAAUUGACGGUACCUGCAAGGAAACACCCGCUAACCCCGGGCCAACAGCCGGCGUAAUACGGGGGGUGCGAGCGUUAAUCGGAAUUACUGGGGGGAAAGCGCUCGUAGGCGGUAUGUCAAGUCAAGGGGUAAAACCCCGCGCCCAACGUGGGAACUGCCUUUGAAACUGGCAAACUGGAGUGUGUGAGAGGAUAGUGGAAUUCCAGGUGUAGGAGUGAAAUCCGUAGAUAUCUGGAGGAACAUCAGUGGCGAAGGCGACUAUCUGGCACAUAACUGACGCUGAGGAGCGAAAGCGUGGGUAGCAAACAGGAUUAGAUACCCCGGUAGUC